CAGCCGCCGCGGGAAUACGUAGGGCGCAAGCGUUGUCCGGAAUUAUUGGGCGUAAAGAGCUCGUAGGCGGUCUGUCGCGUCUGGUGUGAAAUCCCGAGGCUCAACCUCGGGCUUGCAUCGGGUACGGGCAGACUAGAGUGCGGUAGGGGAGACUGGAAUUCCUGGUGUAGCGGUGGAAUGCGCAGAUAUCAGGAGGAACACCGAUGGCGAAGGCAGGUCUCUGGGCCGCAACUGACGCUGAGGAGCGAAAGCAUGGGGAGCGAACAGGAUUAGAGACCCCUGUAGUCCCUGUCUCUUAUAC
rnacentral:rRNA from 1 species